ACACGAGCAGCCAGACAGACUUCCACACUGGCCACAGAGCCUUCCUUUCUGGGGGGCCCUGGCGAAUGGGGAAACUGAGGCCCAGAGAGGAAGAGGCGCGGCCCAGGGACAUACUCUGAAGCCCCUCCCUCCUAUUACCUUCGGAGCCCCGCCCACCCCAGGGUCCUCCCUCUCUACCUCCAUUCUUGGUGCCUUCCUACAAUCGAUGCUAACACGCCCCGCCUCUAAGAUCACGGAGGCCCCGCCCCGCCCCGCUAAUGAGGCCCCGCCCCACGGGGGCUAUGCAAAUGAGACGCCCGGAGGCCCCGCCCCUCCCUCCACCGCGGAGUCUGCUCGGCGCGGCCAGGCCCGGCCGACCGCGUCUCGGUCUCCGCGUCUGCCAGCCUGGCUGGCAGUCCGUCUGUCCAUCCCGCCGCGCCGGGGCAGUCUAGGCGGAGCGGGGGCUUAGGCGGCGGCGGCCUCGACACGAAUGAGUGUCGUGGUUGGGGUGCUGGACCCAGAGUGCCUACCCUCGCCUGCCUGGGCCUCAGUUUCCACAUCUGCACAAUGGGGGUGACCAUCCCUGCCCUGCUGGCUGCCAGGAGCGGCUGUGAGUCUUCAGGCGUGGAUGCAGCCUGGGGGAAGCCAUAGGGCGCUUUCACAGGCCUGGCCUUCACCAUGGCGGGAGGGAGACCGCAUCUGAAGAGGAGUUUCUCCAUCAUCCCCUGCUUUGUCUUCGUGGAGGUGAGGACCCCCGUACCUCUCCCAGAGACGGCGUGCCUAUCUCUGUCUCUGUCCAACCUCAGUCUCCUUAUCUGUACCCACUUUUCCAUCUCUGGGAUCUCCCUUGCUGUCCCCUUUCUCUUGAGAAAUGGUUAUGAGCUUAGAUUCAGAAGUGCCACUCCCUGGGGUCCAAUCCCUCUCUGCCCCAUCCACACCGCAGGGUGCUGGACACCACAGGUACCCUCCUGAGCCGCAGUUUCCUCAUUCAUAAAAUGGACAUCACCAGAGUCCCAACUCAUAGGGCUGUUCUCUGUGUGUGUGUGUGUGUGUGUGUGUGUACGUGUGUGUUUGAGAUAGGGUCUCACUGUGUCACCCAGGCUGGAGUGCAGUGGCAUAAUCUCGGCUCACUGCCACCUCCACCUCCUGGGCUCAAGCAAUUCUCCUACCUCAGCGUCCCGAGUAGCUGAGACUACAGGCG
rnacentral:lncRNA from 1 species